UACGUAGGGGGCGAGCGUUGUCCGGAUUUACUGGGCGUAAAGAGCUCGUAGGCGGUUCGUUAAGUCGGAUGUGAAAGCCCUCGGCUCAACUGAGGAAGUGCACCCGAAACUGGCGAGCUUGAGUACGAAAGAGGAUCGCGGAAUUCCCGGUGUAGAGGUGAAAUUCGUAGAUAUCGGGAGGAACACCGGUGGCGAAGGCGGCGAUCUGGGUCGAUACUGACGCUGAGGUGCGAAAGCGUGGGGAGCAAACAGG
rnacentral:rRNA from 1 species